rnacentral:rRNA from 1 species
UACGGGGGGGGCAAGCGUUGUUCGGAAUUACUGGGCGUAAAGGGCUCGUAGGUGGCCAACUAAGUCAGACGUGAAAUCCCUCGGCUUAACCUGGGAACUGCAUCCGAUACUGGAUGGCUUGAAUCCGGGAGAGGGAUGCAGAAUUCCAGGUGUAGCGGUGAAAUGCGUAGAUAUCUGGAGGAAUACCGGUGGCGAAGGCGGCAUCCUGGACCGGCAUUGACGCUGAGUGAGCGAAAGCCAGGGGAGCAAACGGG